AAAGAGUGAAGCUGAAGAGAGCCGUCUAUUGACAGUUCGAUUCUGUUCAUUCGGUUACUGUCAUGGAGUCGCUCUCUUCAGAUGAUCCCUU
rnacentral:pre_miRNA from 1 species